rnacentral:rRNA from 1 species
GACAGAGGUGCCAAGCGUUUAGGCGGAAUCACUGGGCUUAAAGCGUGUGUAGGCGGAUCGUUAAGUACCUUGUGAAAUCCCACGGCUCAACCGUGGAACUGCUGGGUAUACUGGCGGUCUUGAGCCACCUAGGGGCAACUGGAACAAGCGGUGGAGCGGUGAAAUGCGUAGAUAUCGCUUGGAACGCCAACGGUGAAAAACAGGUUGCUGGGGGGUGUGCUGACGCUGAGACACGAAAAGCCAGGGGGAGCGAAACGGGG